AUUGAACGCUGGCGGCAUGCUUUACACAUGCAAGUCGAACGGCAGCGCGGGCUUCGGCCUGGCGGCGAGUGGCGAACGGGUGAGUAAUGCAUCGGAACGUGCCCAGUAGUGGGGGAUAGCCCGGCGAAAGCCGGAUUAAUACCGCAUACGACCUGAGGGUGAAAGCGGGGGACCGAAAGGCCUCGCGCUAUUGGAGCGGCCGAUGUCGGAUUAGCUAGUUGGUGGGGUAAAGGCUUACCAAGGCGACGAUCCGUAGCUGGUCUGAGAGGACGACCAGCCACACUGGGACUGAGACACGGCCCAGACUCCUACGGGAGGCAGCAGUGGGGAAUUUUGGACAAAGGGGGCAACCCUGAUCCAGCCAUGCCGCGUGCGUGAAGAAGGCCUUCGGGUUGUAAACCGCUUUUGUUCGGGAAGAAAUCCUCUGGGCUAAUACCCCGGGGGGAUGACGGUACCGGAAGAAUAAGCACCGGCUAACUACGUG
rnacentral:rRNA from 1 species